rnacentral:rRNA from 1 species
GACGAACGCUGGCGGCGUGCUUAACACAUGCAAGUCGAACGGAAAGGCCCUGCUUUUGUGGGGUGCUCGAGUGGCGAGCGGGUGAGUAACACGUGAGUAACCUGCCCUUGACUUUGGGAUAACUUCAGGAAACUGGGGCUAAUACCGGAUAGGACCUCCUGCUGCUUGUUGGGGUUUGGAAAGUUUCGGCGGUUGGGGAUGGACUCGCGGCUUAUCAGCUUGUUGGUGGGGUAGUGGCUUACCAAGGCUUUGACGGGUAGCCGGCCUGAGAGGGUGACCGGCCACAUUGGGACUGAGAUACGGCCCAGACUCCUACGGGAGGCAGCAGUGGGGAAUAUUGCACAAUGGGCGGAAGCCUGAUGCAGCAACGCCGCGUGCGGGAUGACGGCCUUCGGGUUGUAAACCGCUUUCGCCUGUGACGAAGCGUGAGUGACGGUAAUGGGUAAAGAAGCACCGGCUAACUACGUG